rnacentral:lncRNA from 1 species
CCCCCCCCCUCUCGGUUCCGAUCUCGGUAGCAGACGCGCCACCGUGAGCGGCGGCGGUGGUGCCAGACGACGAAGAAAGACAUAACAGAGAGAGAGAAAGAGGCAGGAGACGAGGAGAGAGAGAUACAUUAAGAAAGAGAAGGAGUGACGGCGGAGAGCCGCCGUCGUGCGGCGGCGUGGCGGUGGUCCUCUCAGUCCGACGGGUCACGUUCGUGAAAGAUUCACAUUCGGUUCCCAGUCAGACAUCACGGCUCGGUUUGACUCGGUCAAACCGAGUCAACUCAGUGUUCGGGUCAGUGGGUUGAUUCCGGUUCAGGUCAACAGUUGAACAACGGGAGACGGUUCAGAUGUAGAGAUCAGUUUGAUGUUCGAGUCAAUUCGGUUAAACCGAGUUAACUCAGUUUGGGCUGGGUCAAAUAGUCAAGGCAGUCAACAGCAGUCAACGCCCGGUCAACACGAAGAACCGGUAACAAAGUUAGAAGGAAUAUUGUAGAAUGCACGCUAGCAAGUCACGUCUUGGAAACGACAUUAUGAAGUCGUAUAUAGCUAGCUUUGCACAGGAAUAUUCAGGAAACUAACGAUCUGGCGCGGUAUGGCUUGUUUUCCGCUGCAUUAGGCCCGAGGUCAUCCAGGGUUCGAGACUUGUGACUCUUUCCUGGACAAGUCACAGUCCCUGAACCAUGUUUACUUUAAGUUUGCAUUUGUAAUGUUUAGACAAGUUAUGGUUGUUGGGUGUUAACCCGUUAAGACAAUGUUUAAUAUUUUUAUUUUCAAUGGAUGAUCUUGCAUAUUUUUA